UACGGGGGGGGCAAGCGUUGUUCGGAAUUACUGGGCGUAAAGGGCUCGUAGGUGGCCAACUAAGUCAGACGUGAAAUCCCUCGGCUUAACCGGGGAACUGCGUCUGAUACUGGAUGGCUUGAGAUUGGGAGAGGGAUGCGGAAUUCCAGGUGUAGCGGUGAAAUGCGUAGAUAUCUGGAGGAACACCGGUGGCGAAGGCGGCAUCCUGGACCAACACUGACACUGAGGAGCGAGAGCCAGGGGAGCAAACGGG
rnacentral:rRNA from 1 species